rnacentral:pre_miRNA from 1 species
GGCGAUUGUCGGACUAGUCGCUGCGUACAAAACGGAACUAUUUCAACUAGUGACUAGACCGAACACUCGCGUC